ensembl:lncRNA
GAAAGGGAAGUUGUAGCUCCGCUCUGAUCGUGUGAAAAAUAACAUGUGCACAGUCUGCUCUCAAGAGGUUGCUCAAGCAAGUACAUGAACAGAGACCGCACCCCAGCGUCGGCUGCCAUUAACUGCGGGACUAAGACUGAAGUGCCAAAUAAGCAGCCACACGGCUCCGUCUGCACCAGGCACCACAAGCACCCACCCACAGACCCCGAGCUCAUCUCCGGGCUCCCUGCUGCGCUGGCCCGUCGGCCCACUGCUGCAAGUCUGUGCUGGAGGGCUGUGCCACGAGCAUGCAGAGGGGGCCCACAGGGCAUUCGGACUUCCAGAAAUGAGUGCCAACACCCUCCUUCUGCCUUCAGUCAGGGGAUGACCAGAGCUGACACUUGAAUGAUCCAGCUUCUUACACCCUCCGGUGGGAUCCACCAAGGCAGGUUCCUCACACGGCCUCCCAGAGCACCAGCAAAGCAGGGCUCCAGCUGCCCACAGUGGUGACUUGCUUGGUAACCCACUACUGGAGAUUCUGCUGUUUCUUUCACCUUCCAAAUAAACUACGGACACAGAUGCCCAUGUCUCUCUGAGGAGAAGUCAAUCUAAGAAAAUACCUCAUACCAUAAGGACCUGAAGAUACAUGAAGUGAAGUCGCUCAGUCGUGUCUGACUCUUUUCGACCCCAUGGACUGUAGCCUACCAGGCUCCUCUGUCCAUGGAAUUUUCCAGGCAAUAGUACUGGAGUGGAUUGCCAUUUCCUUCUCCAGGCGAUCUUCCCGACCCAGGGAUCAAACCAGGGUCUCCUGCAUUGCAUUAAGAGACUUUCAGGGAACUCUCUUAAAUCUUCUGGAAACAAAUAAACUUUAGAGUCUCAGGUUUUUCACAGAAUUAGCAAUACACAAUCUAGAGAUAUUUACAGAAUAUUAAGAUAAAAUUCCAGUAGUGUUUGUGAUGACCAGAGUCCACUAGACUUAUAAGAGUAAUUCAGAAGAAUGCUAUCAUGAGUUUUUUCACUUUGCAUGGUGAGUGAGUUCAUUCUAACUCAAAAAGAUAAAAUCUCUUUGAUAUAAUGAAAAGCAAUUCUAAAACACAUUUUUUUUUAACAUGGAGAAGUUCCAUUCCAGAAAUAAUUAUUGAAGGCCUACUAGCUUCCAGACAUGAAGACGACCUAGCCCCUGUCCUCAGAGAAGUUAGUACCUAGAAAAAUGAGAGACAGACAUGUAAGUCAAUAAUUACACUAGGGUCAAAAAGUGUGAUAAUUAAACUGUGAACAAAGACACUGGAGGAAGGUCUGUCUGAAUGGAAAAGAGCUAAAUAAAGUUUCACAAGCAGCUAUAGUUCAAGGUUUUCAAAGAUGUCUGGGAUUACAGGGGUGGGACAGAGAGAACACACCAGGUAGAGAGGCCAGCCUGGGAGAAAGCAGAAAGAAGCAAAAGCAGGUCUGUGUGUUCAUCAAGUCUGGGCACCAGGUCAACAGAAGUAAAAUGGAAUACUCACAUGCAAGAGAGUAACUUUUGUCUUCAAACUGUAAAAUCGUCACAGGAAUCACUUGACAAAAAUAUCUGACAAGUUUUCUACUUCAAAAAAGCCUCUAACAUGCCAGGCCCUCAUGUAUUAUCCCUGAAGCAUAAAUAAGAGAAAAAUUGUCUGACUCAAAAUAUAGUUACUGCCUAUAUACAAUGAGAUUCCAACUAUAUGACAUAUAACUACGGAUACAGUUGAAAGAUCAGUGGUCUUGAGAGUGGCAGGGGCAGAAGGCUGAAGAAGUAGAGCACAGGCAAUUUUCGAGGUGGUUAAAAUACUCCAUGG